GGAAGUAUGUGAUUUUAAUCAAAAUAGUGUAUGAUUCGGUCAUUACAGAACUGCAGUUUUAAUAAUCAAAGUACAAAAUAUACCGUCAAUUACGUAUUAACUAUUACUAUUAUUGCGUUUCAUUUCGUGAUAAACGCAUAAUAUGAUUCAAUAUUACAAUUUAAAUCCACACAAAUUACAGGUAUUUUUACCUUACAGCUACAGAAAUGAGUAAAUUUGUAUUUCUUUACGUGUGUUUACUGAUGUGUUACGCUUAUGGUUCAGUAGCAGAAACAAAAUAUGCCAAGUUUCCGUACAUUAGUUCUGGCCGUAAGUCACUCAUGGGUUGGGACGAUAAAUACCUGCAAGAACUAUUUUCCCAAAGUGGAAACAAAACCGUUUUCAUGAAGCUUGUGAAAGCCAAGUUUGAAAACUUUAAAGAAUUAUCCAAGAGUACGAAACUAAAUAAUAAAGUAUCUGGGAAAGUUAUGUUAAACCAAAAUGCAAGCAAUUCGGAACCAGGGCGAUAUUUUGGAAAAUAUCUAAGGCCAGAUCACAUGACACAACAACAGAUUGACAAACUUGUUGAAUUGCAUAAUACGAUACGAUCUUCUGUUUCUCCUACAGCGGACGAAAUGCUACGGCUGUCGUGGAACUACGAUUUGGAAGCAAGCGCUGCAAGCAAAGCGAAAUCCUGUGCGUUCAGAUGGUCACCCACAAACAGCAGGCUGGACAAUGCGGGCCAUGGAAGCGGCGAAAACGUAUGGGUUGGAUGGGGUGUCAAUUUCACAACACUGGACGUGAAUUCUCCGAUAACCACCUGGUUCGCUGAGCAAAAAUAUUUCGACCCCGAGCUCCAGCAAUGCUUAGGCGGUUCGUGCGAACAUUAUGUUCAAAUUAUCUGGCACGACGUUUAUCGGAUAGGAUGCGCGUGGAAUGAAUGCAACGACAUAAAAGUGUACGGAUACCCAGUCAAUACGGCUGUGUUUCUGGUGUGCCAUUACGGACCAAGUUUACCCACAGGGGUGCAAGACAACCGUUGUUUCCAUACUUUAGAGGUGUUGCUUGCUCAUUCUGUGGUCAGGAGGAUAGAUGCGAAUAUAGUUUGUGCACAAAUGACGAAAGAGAAAAGACAGCUGGUGAAAAACCGUGGACAGAUCCACCUUCAACAGGCGUCGGGGUCAUUACAACGACAGAAGAACCUCUUAUAAGUGAAGGAACCAAAAUCGGUCUGAUAGCUGGCGGUAGUGUCCUUGGUGCGACGUUACUAGCUACUGCUAUAACUGCAAUUGUGGUGAGGUCUCUUCGUAAGAGAGAACAAGCAGCAGCAACUGUAGCUGGAAGCAGUUUAAACAAUGUUACUUCAAACUUGAGUGAAAAAUUGGCAUCCAGUAAAACUUUGCAGUACGAAUAAUAUUUUCUAGAAACUUCUGGAUUGGGCGACCUGCAAUAAAUAAAUAGAAUUAAAAAGUGAAAAGUUUACGAUUACAAUUGGUGCAAUGCUCACCUUUUUGGUAAAAAUAACAGAAGUUCACUGUUAUAAGUCUGCUAUGAUUGUAGUUGAAACAUCACUAGUGUACUUUACUCUGUUAUUUUUCAAUAAAAAACACCAUUAGUAUUGCACAAAUAA